UUGGUAACAAUUAUUAUCAAAAUGUAAAACCAUGUAAUAAGAUUGACAAAUGUUUUUUUUUCUUCGUCAAUCCAUACCUAUUAAAAUAUAUAAUUUACAUUGUAAUAAACUUUAUUUCAAUCAUUUAACAAUCAAAAUCAUUUAAUCCCUGGUAGUAAAAGGAUGCUACUACAGCGUGCGUAUGUAGGGUAUAGGCCCAUGGGCCAGUAUCUGUAGUCUAAGCCACAUAAUGACCUGAUUGUUACCUGAGUGCUCCUGACCUGAUUAAUGUCCAGUUCAGUUACUGUAGUCUAAGCUAUGUAAUGACCUGACAUGUUUCCGGAGACAUCAGCUUGUGUUGUUUUGUAGCCGAGUGCUCCUGGCCGGUCUGUAUAAAAGGACAGUCAUCGAACACCCACAUCACUAUCCUCCUUACAUCACCGAAAACAUCGACAUAACUCAUUCUGCUAUAUGACUGCAAUGAUGGUAAAUGAUUUCUAUAGACGUGCCAUUUUGACGAAGGAACAACAGUCGCAUUUUGACGAGAAGAGUCUUCUGGAUAAUUAUAAAACAUUAUUCAGCACUAUUCAACUUGCUUUAUUAUGCAGUGUAAGGUUCCUGUAGUUGAGGAAGACUGCACAAUGAAUUGUAUUAAUAUGGUGGUAGCCUGCACGCUGAAGUGUAAAUGGAUGGUUAUACCGCACGCUAAAGCGGCACCUGUAGUAGUAGUAGUAGUAGUAGUAGUAGUAGUUAUACCUAGUAGUAGCAGUAGUAGCAGCAGCAGCAGUAGUAGUAAUAGUAAUAUAAGUAGCAGUUAUAUUAGUAGUAGCAGUAUUAGUAUUAGUAGUUGUAAUCUCUCUCUCUCUCUCUGCUUAUAAGAUAAUUUUAUACAUUCUGUGUAUAUCUCUUUUCAUAAUAAGAUUCAGUAUAAUUAAUAAAAUUAAGAAAUGAGGAAUAAGUAAGUGGACCAUCUGUCACUGCGUGGGUCGAGAGAGUUUGAGUGGACAGCCAGGCCAGCUUCCAUCCUGGAUGUGGGCGGAGUGACCCCGCGUCCCUCCCCCCCGGCUACCUGCGGAUUAAGUGCCUCCGGGAGACUAAACUCAUCGGUCAAACAUAUUCAUUUUUUCACUCACUAGUGGAUCAGUUAUGAGUCGAUCCGACAGUACAACUAAGGGCUAAUCUGAAAUCACUUAGGACCUUGCAGUAGUGUUGCGAAUGAGGUAAAUCUACUUAUUUAUGAGUUUUGUAUUAUUUGAUCUUUACCUUCAUAGUUGUUUCUCAAAAUCUGCAGGGCUGCCUCAUAAUUCUUCUCCUCUAAAGAUAGUUCUGAAAGCAAGGCAUCUGCUCUUUCAAAUAUCCCAUUAAACUUUUUCUGCACUGGUUAGGUCUUCUCUCUGGUGGAUUAAGACCUCAAAUAUAUCCCAGAAGGAGUAUCAGUUUUCUUCCCCAGUAAAGGGUUCUAUUGAAAUGGUAGGUAAUUUUUAGUUUAGGUUUGACUCCUUCCAUGUUAGUUCAGGCUAGUUGAAGUUGAGGCUUGAGUAGCACUGACUCAAGUUUCUUUAUGCCUUCAAAAUAUUUAUCUUGCUUUACCUCAGCAGGUCCCAAAGUGUGGUGCACGCGAGCUGAUCACUAAGAGUGCAUAAGGAGAAAAAAAUAUGUAAUGGCGAACUUUGUCUCAUUAAAAUUUCAAACACAUCAUUAACUGGUAUUGUUUUAAAACUAACGUAUGAUGUACGCUUCAGCGGAGUUGUCUGUUUUUUGUUUGAAACUUACCCAGACUCUGAGCACAUUCAUCCACCCCCCAGGUACAUUUUCGUUCAGUUUUGAUAGCCAUUGCUCAGAGCCUCAUAAUUUGCGAGCACAAAAUUGGUAAAUAAUGGAUGAAAUUUCAGGAAAUCAAUGGGACCUUAGUACUGCUUGAAUCUUAGCGGGGGUGCGUGGACUCUGUCACAUCCUGGAAAGUGGUGUGUGGACUCGGUCACAUCCUAGAAGGUGGUGUGUGGACUCAGUCACAUCCUGGAAGGUGGUGCAUGGACUCUGUCACAUCCUGGAAGGUGGUGCAUGGACUCUGUCACAUCCUGGAAGGUGGUGUGUGGACUCAGUCACAUCCUGGUAGGUGGUGUGUGGACUCGGUCACAUCCUGGUAGGUGGUGUGUGGACUCUGUCACAUCCUGGUAGGUGGUGUGUGGACUCGGUCACAUCCUGGUAGGUGGUGUGUGGACUCUGUCACAUCCUGGUAGGUGGUGUGUGGACUCGAUCACAUCCUGGAAGGUGGUGUGUGGACUCAGUCACAUCCUGGUAGGUGGUGUGUGGACUCGGUCACAUCCUGGUAGGUGGUGUGUGGACUCUGUCACAUCCUGGUAGGUGGUGUGUGGACUCUGUCACAUCCUGGUAGGUGGUGUGUGGACUCGGUCACAUCCUGGUAGGUGGUGUGUGGACUUGGUCACAUCCUGGUAGGUGGUGUGUGGACUCAGUCACAUCCUGGUAGGUGGUGUGUGGACUCAGUCACAUCCUGGUAGGUGGUGUGUGGACUCGGUCACAUCCUGGUAGGUGGUGUGUGGACUCGGUCACAUCCUGGUAGGUGGUGUGUGGACUCAGUCACAUCCUGGUAGGUGGCGCAUGGCCUGAAAAGUUUGGGAACUGCUGCUCUACCAGAUACUUAAGACUGUUUUCAUCUUCAUCUGCUAGUAAGUCAUUCUCCAAAAACAGGUAUGCAUCCUGUUAUUUAUCCUAAUAGUUAUUCAAUAUUUUGAGAUGAGUUCUUAGUUCUUGAUCUAGGGGUGUUCUUUUCAAUAUUUGCUUGCAAGCCUCAUAUUGGUGUGUCACCCACCCCAAUUUGGCUGACAUGGUCCCUAAUGUUAUGUUAGGUGGAGAACCGGAUAGCUAUUUGGCUCAGCAAAGCACAGAAUGACCUUUGAGCAGGCUCUUCCACCACAUUUAGUUAGCUAUGAGGUGUGGGGCAAGCGGGUGUUAGUGCAGUAGUUAGGUCACAGUUAGUUUAGAUUAGUUUAUGUUCACACCAAUAUAUCAAGUUGAAACAAACACUGGAACAAAUUAUUAAUAUUGAGGUCAAUUAUGGGAUCAGAAUGCUAUGCAUUGUUUAGUUUUACUUUACAUUCAUAACUGUCUAUAGCUGCCACCCCACGAAACAUAUGGUGUGGGGCCGCAAGAUCCCGGAGCCACGCAUGUAAUGUAAACACGAGGGGUUACUUGCUGGAUGCCCCGUGGUGCUACAUGCCACAUCCUUCCAACUUAAUGACCAAAGGAGCCAAACUAUGGUCAGCAAAAGUCACAUGUACAUCACUGGUUUACCUCCUCACUUGGGACACCAAUGUGGAUAUAAUAUAAAUUUAGAAUUAACAUGAAAAACCACUUUAUGAUCAAGGAAGUGAAUUUACCUGCUAUACUCCCAUACUCCUAUCUCAGGCUAAGACAAACAGAAUUGACCAACCCUAGUCAGUUACUUAGCUGUGGAUUCCAGAGGUCUGGGAGAAAGAUGUUGAGGUAUCAAGUAGAACCCAGAUGGUGGCAGAAGGCUGAGUUUGAUCCCCGUGGUCCAAGGUGAAAGGCAGUCAGGCAUAUUCUGGGAAUGACCCUUUAAUGGCCUUUCCUUUGGUUUACUUCUCAAAUUAAGAGAAUUUAACAGAACAGGUGAAGAUGCUCUGCUAUGAAGCCUUGCAUCAGAGAUAAAGGCGCUGGUUAUUCAAGCUCCUCAGGUUAGUUAGCAUUGCCACAUCAGCAAAUGCCACGUCAUCAAUUGAACCCCUGAUGACAUUUCAGAACACUCUUCUCACCACUUCUAAUUAUUUUGUGGUACUCUAUUAUUACCACUUGUUUCCUAAUUCUAAUUGAGUAUCAUUAGAUUGAUAAUAAUAAUACACAAUAUAUACAGAUGGAAUAAGUUUCACACAUGGUAUAUACUCAAAUAUUAGAAUAUGGUGCUGAUCCAGUAGUAUAUGACAGAUAUGCACUACAGGUCAUGAAAGAACCAACAAAUCAUUGUAGUAAAAUUGACAAAAGUCGGGAAUUUUUCUCCAAAAUGCAGCACUUGAAAAUGGGGUGUGUCUUUGAUGCAGGCAAAUACAUUAUGUUAAUUUUAAAAUGUUAUG